AAAACCUUAAAUUAGAGUGAAUAAAUGAAGACUUGGCACACCACUUCUGAAAGGUUGCCGACCCCUGCUCUAUAGCCACUACUAUAUCUUCUAGUCUACAAUCCAGUACAUAGUUCAGGUACUACCAUUGUGCAGAGGGAAAUGGCCAAUAAAUUUGGCAGCCCUGAUUUCAGGUGAGUGCUUACUGUGUAUUGUUAUAUUGUGUAGAUGUUUAAUGUGUUAUAUUUAAAUAUUUUUAUUCUGGUUUUGUCUUCAACUCUCUUGGCCACAGAUCUUUCCUUCCAGAGCAAAGUGUAGAACACACUUCAGGUUAGCUUUUCCACAACAAGGGAAAAAGAUAGACGGGAUAAAUAAAGAGGUGGCUCACUAGAUCAUCUUACUAACGGAACUUCAUACAUGAUCAUCUUGGCGCUGAGAUAUGGUGAUAGAUGUGCGACUACAAAUCCUGACAUUCACUGAAGUCAACAGGAAAGCUCCCGGCCAGAAUUUUUUCCUGACUCUGUGCUUUAUGCCUGCAGCUAAGAUCUGGAAUGUUCAGGCAGAUGCUCUCUAGGUUUGUUGGACUGGUGAAAAGGGUGUUCUGAAGAGACUUUGCUCCCUUCUUCCUUCCUGAUUAGAGCAACAGAGUUAAAAAAUGAUUAUCUUUAUUGCAUGUUGCAAGGCAUAUCUAUUUUCUGAAGAUGUAGUUUGAAUAGUGGAUGAGAUUUUUUUUUCCCCCUAUGGAAGAUAGAGGUGGAGGAGAGAUUCCUUAUUGUUAAUUGAUGUUAGUUCAGUGUACAGUAUGUGAUUUUAUAGUUUUUGUACCUGGGCCUAGAAACCAAUAUAUAGUACUCACACUUUAUAAACCAAAAUAUGCUGUCUCUUGUAUGGCUAAAAAUAAAUAACAAAAAAUUAUCAAGAGCCUUUCCAGCCAAAGAGGACCUUUUCCCCUCAAAGCAGAAUGUGAAUUGUAAACCAUUUCAAAAUCAAAGGUUGUAACUGUUAUCCUGGCUUGAUUCUUGAAUAAAGUGUUAAAACUCCAA